UAGCAGUUAAUUCUUGGAGGUGAACUUGACUAUCCUAGGGGGGAUGUCUUUUGCAUCACUAAACUAGGUCCGCGUUGAACUGAUUACAGUUCACAGAAAAUUGAAAUAUUAUAGCUGGUUCUAAUGUCUCAUAAAAAAAAGGAGACCGGAGAAUUCGAAAGAAGUCUCGGCACAUUAUUCAUAGCCAUCAUAUCGGAAAAGAGAGGAGCAAUGAAUAUUAAGGACUACAGGCUUAUAAGUCUAGCGCAAAGCAUCUACAAGAAUAAUAUCUAAGAAGUUUUUUAGUAGAUUGAAGAAAGUGUUGGACGAGACAGUGUUACAUCUCAGAGUGGGUUCGCACAAAUGCUAGACACGGCUUUGGUGGCAAAAGAAGUGGUUGGCUCCAGAAGAAAGUAGGGAGAGUCGGAAAUCUUGUGUAAACAGGAUAUUAAGAAGGCAUAUGAUCAUGUGAAUCGAGAGUUCUUAGACUAUAUAAUGUUGAAGAUGAGAUUCAGAAUUAGGAGGAGAAAGUGAAUCAAGUUCUGCAUAUCAACUGUCACUCUCGAUCCUAGUAAAUGGGAGCCCAUGGGGUUUCAUUAGCAGCUCGAGGAGCUUGAGACAGAGGAACUUGUUGCCUCUCAUGCUAUUCAUCUUGGUAUUGGAAAAACUUACAAUGAUGGAUAGAAUUAUGGUAAGUGGUCACUUGAGGGGCUACUCUGCAACAAUCAGGGGACAAGGGUUUCACACCUCAUGUUCGCAGAUGACCACUUCUGUUUAGUGUGAAGCAGAAAUUUACCAGUUAAAUUUUCUUGGAAGGGUUCUUAUGUGGUACGAGGCAGUGCAAGCCCUAGAUCAACCUCAAGAAGUGUGAGAUUAUUCCAAUAGGUGAAGUGGAUAAUACUGCGCGAUUAGCACACGUGCUCGAUUAUAGGGUUGGAGCUCUUCCAAGUUCCAACCACUUAUCUUGGCUUACCUUUGCACGCUCCCAAUAAAGACCAAGCAACAUGGAGCCCGGUGAUUAAGAGAGUUUAAAAGAGGCUAGCAUCAUAUAAAAAGAGGUAUAUAUCAAAAGGAUUGAAGGAAGUAGACUCUGUCGAGCAUCCCUAUGUAUUUUAUGUCAUUGCCGCAUCAAGGAAUAUCACAGGUAAAUUAGAAAGGCUCCAAAGGAACUUCCUAUAAGACUCCACAAAUGGGGGCUAGGAAGUUUCUCUUAGUCAACUAGGAGGAUGUUACAUCUCCAACAAAAUUGGGGGGAGGG
rnacentral:lncRNA from 1 species